CGUAUCACUUAAAGCGAUUCAGCGGAUGACGAUUGACGGAGCGAAGCGACGUCAAAGCGUUUUACAACGUCGAGUCGGUUUAAGGAUACGUUCGUUGGGUAGGGGAGCGUUCUGUAAGCCUGCGAAGGUGGCCUGUGAGGGUUGCUGGAGGUAUCAGAAGUGCGAAUGCUGACAUAAGUAACGAUAAAGCGGGUGAAAAGCCCGCUCGCCGGAAGACCAAGGGUUCCUGUCCAACGUUAAUCGGGGCAGGGUGAGUCGACCCCUAAGGCGAGGCCGAAAGGCGUAGUCGAUGGGAAACAGGUUAAUAUUCCUGUACCUGGUGUUACUGCGAAGGGGGGACGGAGAAGGCUAUGUUGGCCGGGCGACGGUUGUCCCGGUUUAAGCGUGCAGGUGUGUGUUCCAGGAAAAUCCGGUUCACUUUAACACUGAGGCGUGACGACGAGGCACUACGGUGCUGAAGCAACAAAUGCCCUGCUUCCAGGAAAAGCCUCUAAGCCUCAGGUAACAUCAGAUCGUACCCGAAACCGACACAGGUGGUCAGGUAGAGAAUACCAAGGCGCUUGAGAGAACCCGGGUGAAGGAACUAGGCAAAAUGGUGCCGUAACUUCGGGAGAAGGCACGCUGACACGUAGGUGAAGCGGUUUACCCGUGAAGCCGAAGUCAGUCGAAGAUACCAGCUGGCUGCAACUGUUUAUUAAAAACACAGCACUGUGCAAACACGAAAGUGGACGUAUACGGUGUGACGCCUGCCCGGUGCCGGAAGGUUAAUUGAUGGGGUCAGCGCAAGCGAAGCUCCUGAUCGAAGCCCCGGUAAACGGCGGCCGUAACUAUAACGGUCCUAAGGUAGCGAAAUUCCUUGUCGGGUAAGUUCCGACCUGCACGAAUGGCGUAAUGAUGGCCAGGCUGUCUCCACCCGGGACUCAGUGAAAUUGAACUCGCUGUGAAGAUGCAGUGUACCCGCGGCAAGACGGAAAGACCCCGUGAACCUUUACUAUAGCUUGACACUGAACACUGGUCCUUGAUGUGCAGGAUAGGUGGGAGGCUUUGAAGUGUGGACGCCAGUCUGCAUGGAGCCGUCCUUGAAAUACCACCCUUUAAUGGCUGGUGUUCUAACGUAGACCCGUGAACCGGGUUGCGGACAGUGUCUGGUGGGUAGUUUGACUGGGGCGGUCUCCUCCUAAAGCGUAACGGAGGAGCACGAAGGUUGGCUAAUCCUGGUCGGACAUCAGGAGGUUAGUGCAAUGGCAUAAGCCAGCUUGACUGCGAGCGUGACGGCGCGAGCAGGUGCGAAAGCAGGUCAUAGUGAUCCGGUGGUUCUGAAUGGAAGGGCCAUCGCUCAACGGAUAAAAGGUACUCCGGGGAUAACAGGCUGAUACCGCCCAAGAGUUCAUAUCGACGGCGGUGUUUGGCACCUCGAUGUCGGCUCAUCACAUCCUGGGGCUGAAGUAGGUCCCAAGGGUAUGGCUGUUCGCCAUUUAAAGUGGUACGCGAGCUGGGUUUAGAACGUCGUGAGACAGUUCGGUCCCUAUCUGCCGUGGGCGCUGGAGAACUGAGGGGGGCUGCUCCUAGUACGAGAGGACCGGAGUGGACGCAUCACUGGUGUUCGGGUUGUCAUGCCAAUGGCACUGCCCGGUAGCUAAAUGCGGAAGAGAUAAGUGCUGAAAGCAUCUAAGCACGAAACUUGCCCCGAGAUGAGUUCUCCCUGAGACUACAAGUCUCCUGAAGGAACGUUGAAGACGACGACGUUGAUAGGCCGGGUGUGUAAGCGCAGCGAUGCGUUGAGCUAACCGGUACUAAUGAACCGUGAGGCUUAACCUUACA
rnacentral:rRNA from 1 species